rnacentral:misc_RNA from 1 species
GAUGAAGAACGUAGCGAAAUGCGAUAACUAGUGUGAAUUGCAGAUUUCAGUGAAUCAUCGAGUCUUUGAACGCACAUUGCGCCCGCCAGUAUUCUGGCGGGCAUGCCUGUUCGAGCGUCAUUACAACCCUCAGGCCCCCGGGCCUGGCGUUGGGGAUCGGCGGAGCCCCCCGUGGGCACACGCCGUCCCCCAAAUACAGUGGCGGUCCCGCCGCAGCUUCCAUCGCGUAGUAGCUAACACCUCGCGACUGGAGAGCGGCGCGGCCACGCCGUAAAACACCCAACUCUUCUGAAGUUGACCUCGAAUCAGGUAGGAAUACCCGCUGAACUUAAGCAUAUCAAUAAGCGGAGGA